rnacentral:lncRNA from 1 species
AAUGGUUUUCUGAAAUUGAGUUGCUGCGCAUAAACCUUGGGUAGUAUAAAACCCCUCAUUCAUGGAAGUGUAUAAAUUACCUUAAAAAAGUACCUAAAGAAGCAUACAAGCGCACGUUCAGCCCUUUCGCCUUUUCUCUGAGGGGCGCCUCGCAGGUGCUGACUCUCACCCACUUCUCAUCGGGCGUCCAGUUCACGGAUCUCGCGAGCAUACGUCGCGGCUCCGGGUAGCCCAGGUGUAUGGCGGAGCGCUUGUGCUGGGCCUGCAGCAUUUAGUAGAAACGUGUUUUCCAGUUUUUAGUAGAAACGUGUGUUUCAGUGCACGCACGUGAGCGAGGCUCUGCUGCCCUCAACCCGCUGGCAGAACGUGACCUGUAAAGGUGCCCUGUCAGCACACACCGCCGCAGAAGGCCAAGCAGGCUGCCAUUCCUCCUGAGAGCCCUGUGGCGAGCGGAGGCCCAGGAACAGCCACUGGCCAGGCGGGCCUGUUGAAACUUCUGCAGCCUGAAGGCCAGUCACCCAGCAUGGUACCCUGAGUUCACAGUGUUCACUGACUGCCUCCUGCCUUCUCUCUGUGCGGUCCUUCCAUACCCGGUGGCGGGGAGGGGCCCAGGAACAGCCACUGGCCAGGCGGGCCUGUUGAAACUUCUGCAGCCUCAAGGCCAGUCACCCAGCAUGGUACCCUGAGUUCACAGUGUUCACUGACUGCCUCCUGCCUUCUCUCUGUGCGGUCCUUCCAUACCAGUGUUUCCUUCAACCUAGGGAAUGAGCUACUCUCUCAAAACCAGGUCAAGGGUUUCAAAAAUGUAUGGGAAACCAUCACCUGAGAUCCAUUUUGCUGAUUCUGAUCAAAUAAGUUGAAGGUGAGGUAAGUUCAAACUAAUGAAUAGCACAAACAUUUACAGCAGGUAAUAAUUCAUGACAGAUUGUUAAAGCAUACUGCUUUACAUUUCCAUGUAAACUGGAACUUCUAAAAUUU